rnacentral:rRNA from 1 species
UACGUAGGGUGCGAGCGUUGUCCGGAAUUAUUGGGCGUAAAGAGCUUGUAGGCGGUUUGUCGCGUCUGCUGUGAAAAUCCGGGGCUCAACCCCGGACUUGCAGUGGGUACGGGCAGACUAGAGUGUGGUAGGGGAGACUGGAAUUCCUGGUGUAGCGGUGAAAUGCGCAGAUAUCAGGAGGAACACCGAUGGCGAAGGCAGGUCUCUGGGCCACUACUGACGUGAGAAGCGAAAAGCGUGGGGGAGCGAACAGG